rnacentral:tRNA from 2 species
GGGCGCGUAGCUCAGUGGAAGAGCACCCGGCUUACAACCGGGGGGUCACAGGUUCGAACCCUGUCGUGCCCA